CUAGUUCUCUUAAUGUCCCCCCAAUCCCAAGUAGCCUUUGCAAGGAAGCUUGUGGAGACUACCAACACCAAAACCGAGGCGACAAAGAAGACAUCAUCCAUCACCUAUAAAACAAAUCCACAUUCCAAACACCGCGACUGUGGCUACAAGAAAUUGUGCAGAGUUUGGCCUCCUCCAGCCUAGACGAACCUUGACUACUCCAAGCCCCAACAACCAAAUGCUUCUAUCACAAUAUAAGUUAAAUAAUUUCAAAUAAGAUAUUGCAAACUGUGCUACUGUGUGUUUGAUUAUGUCAAUAUAUGUAUGUCAUUUUAACGAAACUUUUGACCGCUUUCA